GCGGGCGUCGUCUAGAGGCAGGACACCACGUUGUGGCCGUGAUAACCCUGGUUCGAUUCCAGGCGCCCGCA